UGUCAAGCUUCUUCGGCAUCCUUUUGGGUGGUCAGAUUUCUUUUGCCUUGAAAAAAGGUGAGGGACAUG
rfam:Rhizobium sp. Pop5 Contig652, whole genome shotgun sequence.